UCAAUUUUAAUAAUUUUUUUAACAUAUCAAUUACAAUAAAAAAAUGCUUCUAAAAAUUUUCACUUUUAACCCAUCAGCACUCACGUUAUGAGCAUUUUGCUCACACAACAACAUCGGACUUAUAGAGCGGCGCUGUAGUGCAAGUGAGAUACUAAAAUUCACCAAUGGACAGUCAAACUAUUUACAACCCUCUAAUGGAUCCGGAAUACCAAUGGCUAUUGCAUACAUGCAUUAAUGCAUUUAAUGUGUGUCUAACCAUGUUUCACAAGCCUUUGUUUGACCAUAUUACUAAUGCAAGAGUACAAAAUCGAUCUAUCGCAGAAAUAAUUUCUUACCCGAUUUUCAUGAUAACUUUGGACCUUCUGAUGUACGCAAGCCUGUAAUUUUAUUUACAUAAUUAAGACAGUAUCAAGAGGUAUUUAAAUAAAGUACAAAAUGGAGUGUUGUAAAAAAUAUUCAAAACUUAUAUUUGAAGACGCCUUAUUGGCAAGUGGAUGCCAAAUUUUACAAUACAUUUAUCGUCACAAUUUUACAAUAACUAUUAAAAGAACAGAAAAAAAUUAUAAAGCUCUGACGGUUUAUAUAUCACUCUUAAAAACAAUAUUUAUAUAAAUCUAUAUUUAUAAGUCAAUCAUUUUCUCAAAAAUAUAAUCAGACUCAUUUAUCUCAUGCACACAUAAACAUAAACAUAAAUACUCUGUUUUAUUUGUCUUGUCCUGUCAACUAUAAAAAAAUUUGUUUCAAUUGUCAGCUUAAGAUAAAAUUCAUUUCUAAAUUCAAAAGUCACUA